rnacentral:rRNA from 1 species
GGGUUGUGAGGUUAAGCGACUAAGCGUACACGGUGGAUGCCCUGGCAGUCAGAGGCGAUGAAGGGCGUGCUAAUCUGCGAUAAGCGCCGGUAAGGUGAUAUGAACCGUUAUAACCGGCGAUACCCGAAUGGGGAAACCCAGUGUGACUCGUCACACUAUCAUUAACUGAAUCCAUAGGUUAAUGAGGCGAACCGGGGGAACUGAAACAUCUAAGUACCCCGAGGAAAAGAAAUCAACCGAGAUUCCCCCAGUAGCGGCGAGCGAACGGGGAGGAGCCCAGAGCCUGAAUCAGCAUGUGUGUUAGUGGAAGCGUCUGGAAAGGCGCGCGAUACAGGGUGACAGCCCCGUACACAAAAGCGCAUGUGCUGUGAGCUCGAUGAGUAGGGCGGGACACGUGGUAUCCUGUCUGAAUAUGGGGGGACCAUCCUCCAAGGCUAAAUACUCCUGACUGACCGAUAGUGAACCAGUACCGUGAGGGAAAGGCGAAAAGAACCCCGGCGAGGGGAGUGAAAAAGAACCUGAAACCGUGUACGUACAAGCAGUGGGAGCACCCUUUGGGGUGUGACUGCGUACCUUUUGUAUAAUGGGUCAGCGACUUAUAUUCUGUAGCAAGGUUAACCGUAUAGGGGAGCCGUAGGGAAACCGAGUCUUAACCGGGCGUUAAGUUGCAGGGUAUAGACCCGAAACCCGGUGAUCUAGCCAUGGGCAGGUUGAAGGUUGGGUAACACUAACUGGAGGACCGAACCGACUAAUGUUGAAAAAUUAGCGGAUGACCUGUGGCUGGGGGUGAAAGGCCAAUCAAACCGGGAGAUAGCUGGUUCUCCCCGAAAGCUAUUUAGGUAGCGCCUCGUGAAUUCAUCUCCGGGGGUAGAGCACUGUUUCGGCUAGGGGGCCAUCCCGGCUUACCAACCCGAUGCAAACUGCGAAUACCGGAGAAUGUUAUCACGGGAGACACACGGCGGGUGCUAACGUCCGUCGUGAAGAGGGAAACAACCCAGACCGCCAGCUAAGGUCCCAAAGUCAUGGUUAAGUGGGAAACGAUGUGGGAAGGCCCAGACAGCCAGGAUGUUGGCUUAGAAGCAGCCAUCAUUUAAAGAAAGCGUAAUAGCUCACUGGUCGAGUCGGCCUGCGCGGAAGAUGUAACGGGGCUAAACCAUGCACCGAAGCUGCGGCAGCGACACUGUGUGUUGUUGGGUAGGGGAGCGUUCUGUAAGCCUGUGAAGGUGUGUCGUGAGGCAUGCUGGAGGUAUCAGAAGUGCGAAUGCUGACAUAAGUAACGAUAAAGCGGGUGAAAAGCCCGCUCGCCGGAAGACCAAGGGUUCCUGUCCAACGUUAAUCGGGGCAGGGUGAGUCGACCCCUAAGGCGAGGCCGAAAGGCGUAGUCGAUGGGAAACGGGUUAAUAUUCCCGUACUUGGUGUUACUGCGAAGGGGGGACGGAGAAGGCUAUGUUGGCCGGGCGACGGUUGUCCCGGUUUAAGCGUGUAGGUGUGUGUUCCAGGUAAAUCCGGUUCACUUUAACACUGAGGCGUGAUGACGAGGCACUACGGUGCUGAAGCAACAAAUGCCCUGCUUCCAGGAAAAGCCUCUAAGCAUCAGGUAACAUCAAAUCGUACCCCAAACCGACACAGGUGGUCAGGUAGAGAAUACCAAGGCGCUUGAGAGAACUCGGGUGAAGGAACUAGGCAAAAUGGUGCCGUAACUUCGGGAGAAGGCACGCUGACACGUAGGUGAAGUGAUUUACUCACGGAGCUGAAGUCAGUCGAAGAUACCAGCUGGCUGCAACUGUUUAUUAAAAACACAGCACUGUGCAAACACGAAAGUGGACGUAUACGGUGUGACGCCUGCCCGGUGCCGGAAGGUUAAUUGAUGGGGUCAGCGCAAGCGAAGCUCCUGAUCGAAGCCCCGGUAAACGGCGGCCGUAACUAUAACGGUCCUAAGGUAGCGAAAUUCCUUGUCGGGUAAGUUCCGACCUGCACGAAUGGCGUAAUGAUGGCCAGGCUGUCUCCACCCGAGACUCAGUGAAAUUGAACUCGCUGUGAAGAUGCAGUGUACCCGCGGCAAGACGGAAAGACCCCGUGAACCUUUACUAUAGCUUGACACUGAACAUUGAGCCUUGAUGUGUAGGAUAGGUGGGAGGCUUUGAAGCGUGGACGCCAGUCUGCGUGGAGCCAACCUUGAAAUACCACCCUUUAAUGUUUGAUGUUCUAACGUGGACCCGUGAUCCGGGUUGCGGACAGUGUCUGGUGGGUAGUUUGACUGGGGCGGUCUCCUCCUAAAGAGUAACGGAGGAGCACGAAGGUUGGCUAAUCCUGGUCGGACAUCAGGAGGUUAGUGCAAUGGCAUAAGCCAGCUUGACUGCGAGCGUGACGGCGCGAGCAGGUGCGAAAGCAGGUCAUAGUGAUCCGGUGGUUCUGAAUGGAAGGGCCAUCGCUCAACGGAUAAAAGGUACUCCGGGGAUAACAGGCUGAUACCGCCCAAGAGUUCAUAUCGACGGCGGUGUUUGGCACCUCGAUGUCGGCUCAUCACAUCCUGGGGCUGAAGUAGGUCCCAAGGGUAUGGCUGUUCGCCAUUUAAAGUGGUACGCGAGCUGGGUUUAGAACGUCGUGAGACAGUUCGGUCCCUAUCUGCCGUGGGCGCUGGAGAACUGAGGGGGGCUGCUCCUAGUACGAGAGGACCGGAGUGGACGCAUCACUGGUGUUCGGGUUGUCAUGCCAAUGGCACUGCCCGGUAGCUAAAUGCGGAAGAGAUAAGUGCUGAAAGCAUCUAAGCACGAAACUUGCCCCGAGAUGAGUUCUCCCUGAGACUUAAAGUCUCCUGAAGGAACGUUGAAGACGACGACGUUGAUAGGCCGGGUGUGUAAGCGCAGCGAUGCGUUGAGCUAACCGGUACUAAUGAACCGUGAGGCUUAACCUUACAACGCCGAAG